UGGCGGACGGGUGAGUAACGCGUGGAAAACCUGCCGUAUACUGGGGGAUAACACUUAGAAAUAGGUGCUAAUACCGCAUAAGCGCACAGCUUCGCAUGAAGCGGUGUGAAAAACUCUGGUGGUAUACGAUGGUUCCGCGUCUGAUUAGCUAGUUGGUGGGGUAAUGGCCUACCAAGGCAACGAUCAGUAGCCGGCCUGAGAGGGUGAACCGGCCACAUUGGGACUGAGACACGGCCCAAACUCCUACGGAAGGCAGCAG
rnacentral:rRNA from 1 species